rnacentral:rRNA from 1 species
AACGAACGCUGGCGGCAGGCUUAACACAUGCAAGUCGAGCGCACCGCAAGGGGAGCGGCAGACGGGUGAGUAACGCGUGGGAAUCUACCCAUCUCUACGGAAUAACGCAUGGAAACGUGUGCUAAUACCGUAUACGUACUUCGGGAGAAAGAUUUAUCGGAGAUGGAUGAGCCCGCGUUGGAUUAGCUAGUUGGUGGGGUAAAGGCCUACCAAGGCGACGAUCCAUAGCUGGUCUGAGAGGAUGAUCAGCCACAAUGGGACUGAGACACGGCCCAGACUCCUACGGGAGGCAGCAGUGGGGAAUAUUGGACAAUGGGCGCAAGCCUGAUCCAGCCAUGCCGCGUGAGUGAUGAAGUCCCUAGGGUUGUAAAGCUCUUUCACCGGUGAAGAUAAUGACGGUAACCGGAGAAGAAGCCCCGGCUAACUUCGUGCCAGCAGCCGCAGUAAAAC